GACGAACGCUGGCGGCGUGCUUAACACAUGCAAGUCGAGCGAUGAAGCACCUUCGGGUGUGAAUUAGCGGCGAACGGGUGAGGAACACGUGAAGAAUCUGCCUUCAACUCUGGGAUAACUCCGGGAAACCGGGGCUAAUACCGGAUAUGAGCCUUGAUCGCAUGAUCGGGGCUGGAAAGUUUUUCGGUUGAAGAUGACUUCGCGGCCUAUCAGCUUGUUGGUGAGGUAAUGGCUCACCAAGGCGACGACGGGUAGCCGGCCUGAGAGGGCGACCGGCCACACUGGGACUGGGACACGGCCAGACUCGUACGGGAGGCAGCAGUGGGGAAUAUUGGGCAAUGGAGGAAACUCUGACCCAGCGACGCCGCGUGAGGGAUGAAGGCCUUCGGGUUGUAAACCGCUUUCAGUAGGGAAGAAGCGAAAGUGACGGUACCUACAGAAGAAGCACCGGCUAACUAUGUGCCAGCAGCCGCCGUAA
rnacentral:rRNA from 1 species